UACGUAGGGACCAAGCGUUGUUCGGAUUUACUGGGCGUAAAGGGCGCGUAGGCGGCAAUUCAAGUCAUCUGUGAAAUCUCCGGGCUUAACUCGGAACGGUCAGAUGAUACUGCUUUGCUAGAGUGCGGAAGGGGCAAUCGGAAUUCUUGGUGUAGCGGUGAAAUGCGUAGAUAUCAAGAGGAACACCUGAGGUGAAGACGGGUUGCUGGGCCGACACUGGCGCUGAGUGCGCGAAAGCCAGGGGAGCAAACGGG
rnacentral:rRNA from 1 species